UGGACACCAAAAAUUAAUUAAUUGAUUAAAAUAAAAACUACACUUUGGCAUACCAUAUUUAAGCAAGAAAAUCUUGAAAAAAGUCAAAGGGGGAAAAAAUGUCUUACCUAUAAAGAAACAAAGAUAAGAAUUACAGCAGAAUUCUUGUCAGAAAUAAGUAAGCAGAGAAGUGUAGAAUGAAAUAUUUAAAGUGUUGAAAGAAAAAACUUACCAAACUAGAAUUCUAUAUCCAGAAAAUUUAUCCUCCAAAGAUGAGGGAGAAAUAAAGGCUUUCUCAGAUAAAUAAAACCUGAAGGAAUUCAUUUCCAGCAGAUUCGCCCUGCAAGAAAUUAAAAAAUCUUCAGACAGAAGGAAAGUGAUAGAGGUCAGAACUCACAUCCACAAAAAAAGAAAAAGUGGAGCAUCAGAAAGAAUAAAGAAAGAUGAAAUGAAAGCUUUUAUUUUUCUUAUUCUUAAUUGAUUUAAGAGACAAAUGCUUACCUAAAGUAAUAAAAGCAACGCUGUGUUGGGUGAUUAUAACAUAGAUUAGUGAUAUAAACGGCAGCAGUGUCACAGGGAGGGAGGGAGGAAUGAGGACUCCUCGACGAGGCAGCUGCAUCGCACAUGUGGACUGAAGGUGGACUUAGAUCAGUUAAAAAUGUGUUUUGGGAACUUUAGGAGAGUUACUGAAAAAGAAGAUCGUAAAGGAAGGUGUGUGAUACGCUGAGAAAGGAGAUAAAACGGACUCAUAAAAUGCUCAUUUAAAACGAGAGAAAGCAGAAGUAGACCGGGGAAAAGAAACAAAGAAUAAACGCGAUGAAUAAAAAAACAGUUACAGACGUGGUGGAUAUUAAUCCAGCUCUUUCCUUAAGUAUGAAGAGACGACCCAAGAGCUGUCACUGCUCUGGGUGAAUUGUGUGUUUAUUGGCCAACGUGCUCGACCACUUUAUGAAAGUGACACCUGCAAUGAUUGUCUACACCAUGCUCGGUGGGUAAAUGGGGGUUUAAAAGUUGAAGAAAAAGCAUCAUUAUCUUCUUUCUUUGGUGAUUGGAUAUCUGGAGAAAGGAUGGAUUUGAACACUCAUGCUUGUAGAACAUUUAAUUCUAUUUUUAGCCAUCUUUCAUUGGCGGAUGAGAUUUGCAGGGAUGGGGAGCAAAAUUAUGGAGGAUGUCUAAAAAAUGUGGACUCACUGCUCCUUAUCUUCUGCUUCAUAAGAUGAAAGGUAGUUCUCAAGAUAAGUAAAAGCAGAAAAUACUUUCUGGAGAUUUGUCCUUUAGAAUCUUAUUGCCUCCGUUUGUCUUUUGACAUCCAAGUUAAUUGUCUUGGUAACAGAAUUAAUAAGGGGAGUCAAGAACACAGAAAAGUAGCUGCCUUGUCCAGACAGCGGGCUGGAUGUGAGUAACAGCCUACAGGAGGGCAGCACACGUGGAGCCAGCACAUGUUGUGCUGUUUCAAGACUGCGUUAACGUCCUCAUGCUGCAAAGUCAUGAUUUAAACCCUCCUGAGAGACUCAACUUCCCAAAAGACCCGACAUCAUAAAAGAAGCUUUCACAUUGGUGCUUGUAAUACGUUGUUCGCUGUUAUCUCAGGGCAAGUUCUCACCUGGCCUAUAAAAAGAAAGGAGACAAUGGCUAUACAUUGAAAAACACACACGUGUCUUAGAUGAGGAAACGGAGUCACAAAGGAGCUGUGUCAUUUGCCCAGGAUCAUGAGAAUUCUAUUGGGUGCUGAAGGAUGACAAAGAGAGGUCACCCCCUCCGACCAGAAUGUUGAUUAUACUUUUUAAAGAAAAGACUCAUCGAUGAUAAUUGAAAAAGAAUCUGUGAUGGCUAAGUUUGUGACAGAAUUAGAUGAAGUAAGAGCCAUUUUGAUGUAUUAUCAAGAAGUUUGAAGUGGAUUUCUGUCCCUCCCAAUGAGAAGAAGGCCUUCGUGUGUUACACCAAGCAGCUUGGUCUCCAAGACAUCCUUUAUAGUCUUUUUAACACUGCACUGGAUUCCACACUACUGGAGAUAGUUGAUUAGCAGUCCAUGCCUUUAAGACAAUGAUUUCCAGACGUGCUCUCUGUACACGGGCAGGAAAAAUGACGAUUACCUUCUGGACUUUUAUAUGUACAUAGUUAUUGUUCUCUGGUUACAAAUGUAACUGUGGAUGGUUAGCUUUUAUGUAAGAUUUUAAUCCCUCUCUCAUUUUUUCUACUGGAUACCUUUAUCCACACUAAUUAUGAUGGGCCAACCAGAACCUUGUGUAGAUCAUUAAACAAGUAAGAUAUCACAAUAUUCUGCAGACAUAAUUCAUCAUAAUGUCUGUGGUGAGAGAGUUCAGGGUAUUAAGACUUUCAUUUUCAUGCUGGUGGACAUACAGACACAAAUAACGAGCUAAAGAUUCUAGAUUUA
rnacentral:lncRNA from 1 species